rnacentral:misc_RNA from 1 species
GAUGAAGAACGUAGCAAAGUGCGAUAACUAGUGUGAAUUGCAUAUUCAGUGAAUCAUCGAGUCUUUGAACGCAUCUUGCACCUGCUGGUAUUCCAGCAGGUACGCCUGUUUCAGUAUCAGAAACAACUCUUCCCCUACGAUUUUUUUGAAUCAUAGGGGGACAUUGAGGGUAUCUGGCUUAGAAGUAAAAUCUCUAGCCCGGAGACGCUUUAAAUGACUUAAGGCCUGCAAGCCAAAGUUUGAUUGCGCCUGAACUUUUUCUUAAUUUCAAGCGAAAGCUCUUGCGAACUAGAACUUUAUUAUUGCCUUGGGGGCCUCCCAAAGAAAACUUUCAACAACUUGAUCUGAAAUCAGGUGGGAUUACCCGCUGAACUUAAGCAUAUCAAUAAGCGGAGGA